CUCCUGGGAGGCAGCAGUGGGGAAUAUUGCACAAUGGGCGCAAGCCUGAUGCAGCCAUGCCGCGUGUAUGAAGAAGGCCUUCGGGUUGUAAAGUACUUUCAGCAGUGAGGAAGGUGGGUAUGUUAAUAGCAUACUCAUUUGACGUUAGCUGCAGAAGAAGCACCGGCUAACUCCGUGCCCAGCAGCCGCGGUAAUACGGAGGGUGCGAGCGUUAAUCGGAAUUACUGGGCGUAAAGCGCAUGCAGGUGGUUUGUUAAGUCAGAUGUGAAAGCCCGGGGCUCAACCUCGGAAUUGCAUUUGAAACUGGCAAACUAGAGUACUGUAGAGGGGGUAGAAUUUCAGGUGUAGCGGUGAAAUGCGUAGAGAUCUGAAGGAAUACCGGUGGCGAAGGCGGCCCCCUGGACAGAUACUGACACUCAGAUGCGAAAGCGUGGGGAGCAAACAGGAUUAGAUACCCUGGUAG
rnacentral:rRNA from 1 species